AGGGUGUAAACGCUGCAGACUUGGUGUUGGAAGCCCUUUGGGGGCAUUCAGUGCCAGAGAGAAGUUGUUAAGUCUGCUACUUGGGGAGUACGUCCGCAAGGAUGAAACUUAAAGGAAUUGGCGGGGGAGCACCGCAACGGGAGGAGCGUGCGGUUUAAUUGGAUUCAACACCGUAAAACUCACCAGGGAAGACUGUUACAUGAAGGCCGAGAUGAAGACUCUGCUAGAUUUUCAGAGAGGAGGUGCAUGGCGUCAGUGACU
rnacentral:rRNA from 1 species